rnacentral:tRNA from 1 species
CGGGCAGUAGCUCAGAGGUAAAGCUCCCGCUUCGUACCCGGGAAGACCUGGGUUCGAUCCCCGGUUGAUUAU